AUUGAGCGCUGGCGGCAGGCUUAACACAUGCAAGUCGAGCGGGGUGAUGGUGCUUGCACUAUCACUUAGCGGCGGACGGGUGAGUAAUGCUUAGGAAUCUGCCUAUUAGUGGGGGACAACAUCUCGAAAGGGAUGCUAAUACCGCAUACGUCCUACGGGAGAAAGCAGGGGAUCACUUGUGACCUUGCGCUAAUAGAUGAGCCUAAGUCGGAUUAGCUAGUUGGUGGGGUAAAGGCCUACCAAGGCGACGAUCUGUAGCGGGUCUGAGAGGGUGAUCCGCCACACUGGGACUGAGACACGGCCCAGACUCCUACGGGAGGGAGCAGUGGGGAAUAUUGGAAAAUGGGGGGAACCCUGAUCCAGCCAUGCCGCGUGUGUGAAGAAGGCCUUAUGGUUGUAAAGCACUUUAAGCGAGGAGGAGGCUCUUUUGGUUAAUACCCAAGAUGAGUGGACGUUACUCGCAGAAUAAGCACCGGCUAACUCUGUGCCAGCCGCCGCCGUAA
rnacentral:rRNA from 1 species